rnacentral:lncRNA from 1 species
GUUUAGACGCUGAGUUGAAGCUCGUCGGUGAGUACGGACUCAGGUGCAAACGUGAACUCUGGAGAGUGAAGUACGCUCUCAGUCGAAUCAGGAACAAUGCUAGAAACCUUCUCACUCUUGAUGAGAAGAAUCCUCGUAGGAUUUUUGAAGGUGAAGCUUUGCUCCGAAGAAUGUUUCGUUAUGGGUUACUUGAUGAACUCUCAGUCGAAUCAGGAACAAUGCUAGAAACCUUCUCACUCUUGAUGAGAAGAAUCCUCGUAGGAUUUUUGAAGGUGAAGCUUUGCUCCGAAGAAUGUUUCGUUAUGGGUUACUUGAUGAGACACAUAAUAAGCUUGAU